rnacentral:rRNA from 1 species
AGAGAGCGCCGGYUAACUACGUGCCAGCAGCCGCGGUAAUACGUAGGGCGCAAGCGUUGUCCGGAAUUAUUGGGCGUAAAGAGCUCGUAGGUGGCUUGUUGCGUCUGCCGUGAAAGCCCGUGGCUUAACUACGGGUCUGCGGUGGAUACGGGCAGGCUAGAGGCUGGUAGGGGCAAGCGGAAUUCCUGGUGUAGCGGUGAAAUGCGCAGAUAUCAGGAGGAACACCGGUGGCGAAGGCGGCUUGCUGGGCCAGUUCUGACGCUGAGGAGCGAAAGCGUGGGGAGCGAACAGGAUUAGAUACCCUGGUAGUCCACGCUGUAAACGUUGGGCGCUAGGUGUGGGGGUCUUCCACGAUUCCUGUGCCGUAGCUAACGCAUUAAGCGCCCCGCCUGGGGAGUACGGCCGCAAGGCUAAAACUCAAAGGAAUUGACGGGGGCCCGCACAAGCGGCGGAGCAUGUUG